AAAAAGAUAGGCUAUAUUAAGCCUACGAGUUCAUACCUCGUUGAAAGAUUUAAUCUUCUUUUUA
rnacentral:tRNA from 1 species